rnacentral:rRNA from 1 species
CCUACGGGAGGCAGCAGUGGGGAAUAUUGCACAAUGGGGGAAACCCUGAUGCAGCGACGCCGCGUGAAGGAAGAAGUAUUUCGGUAUGUAAACUUCUAUCAGCAGGGAAGCAAGUGACGGUACCUGCCUAAGACGCCCCGGCUAACUACGUGCCAGCAGCCGCGGUAAUACGUAGGGGGCAAGCGUUAUCCGGAUUGACUGGGUGUAAAGGGAGCGUAGGCGGUUUAGCAAGUCAGAAGUGAAAGCCCGGGGCUCAACUCCGGGACUGCUGUUGAAACUGUUGAACUAGAGUGCAGGAGAGGUAAGCGGAAUUCCUAGUGUAGCGGUGAAAUGCGUAGAUAUUAGGAAGAACACCAGUGGCGAAGGCGGCUUACUGGACUGUAAAUGACGCUGAGGCUCGAAAGCGUGGGGAGCAAACAGGAUUAGAUACCCUUGUAGUC